rnacentral:rRNA from 1 species
UGGGGAAUAUUGGACAAUGGGCGCAAGCCUGAUCCAGCCAUGCCGCGUGAGUGAUGAAGGCCUUAGGGUUGUAAAGCUCUUUCAGUGGGGAAGAUAAUGACGGUACCCACAGAAGAAGCCCCGGCUAACUUCGUGCCAGCAGCCGCGGUAAUACGAAGGGGGCUAGCGUUGUUCGGAUUUACUGGGCGUAAAGCGCACGUAGGCGGAUCGUUAAGUCGGGGGUGAAAUCCUGGAGCUCAACUCCAGAACUGCCUUCGAUACUGGCGAUCUUGAGUCCGGAAGAGGUGAGUGGAACUCCUAGUGUAGAGGUGGAAUUCGUAGAUAUUAGGAAGAACACCAGUGGCGAAGGCGGCUCACUGGUCCGGUACUGACGCUGAGGUGCGAAAGCGUGGGGAGCAAACAGGAUUAGAUACCCCCGUAGUCC